GCUAAACGCGAAGAACCUUACCCAGACUUGACAUACACUAGACCGCUUCAGAAAUGAAGCUUCCCUUCGGGGCUGGUGCACAGGUGCUGCAUGGCUGUCGUCAGCUCGUGCCGUGAGGUGUUGGGUUAAGUCCCGCAACGAGCGCAACCCUUAUCAUUAGUUGCCAACACGUAAUGGUGGGAACUCUAAUGAGACUGCCUGGGUUAACCAGGAGGAAGGUGAGGAUGACGUCAAGUCCGCAUGGCCCUUAUGUCUGGGGCUACACACGUGCUACAAUGGUCGGUACAAAAGGCAGCGAAACCGUGAGGUGAAGCAAAUCCCGAAAGCCGGCCCCAGUUCAGAUUGUAGUCUGCAACUCGACUACAUGAAGAUGGAAUUGCUAGUAAUGGCGAGUCAGCAACAUCGCCGUGAAUACGUUCCCGGGUCUUGUACACACCG
rnacentral:rRNA from 1 species